rnacentral:lncRNA from 1 species
UGCAGGGACCGCCUGGUGCCCCAAGCUCCUUAUGGCCCUAGUGAAUCUCUCAGGGAUGGGUAGCUGACAACCAAGCAAAUCAGAGUCCUCUCUGGAACUUGUCUGGCAAAAUUCUCAAGGAGGAUCCACUCUGUACGUGAAGGAUAUUAUGAGUGUAUUUGUAUAUUUUUAAAUAUGGACUUCGCACUCUAGAGAAGCCUGGAAGAAUGGAGGAAGAGGGGAGUGCUUUACAACUCCAUCCAUCUGUGAUGGUUAAUGAUGCCCUGGAGCUGUAAGUCAAGGGAAGGACAGGGAGACCCGGAGCCUGAGGUCUGGAUGGUGCACCCCAGCCACAGAGCUGUCUUCCUCACCAGCGCUUGGCCCAAACCAGCCCUCCGUUGUUUCCAGUCCCUUGUCGUGCCUCUAAUUCCACAGAAAUGGCUAUUUUGCUUGGCUUUCACCCCAUUUCUCAUGCAGUACAACAUGUCUGUGCAGCCACAUGUCCAAGAAAGUGAAAUGGAAGAGAUUAAAAACAGA